rnacentral:rRNA from 1 species
UUACCGUGAAAAAAUUAGAGUGUUCAAAGCAGGCAGAUCCAAUUUUCUGCCACCGAAUACAUUAGCAUGGGAUAAUGGAAUAGGACCCUGUCCUCCUAUUUUCAGUUGGUUUUGGCAGCGCGAGGACUAGGGUAAUGAUUAAUAGGGAUAGUUGGGGGCAUUAAUAUUUAAUUGUCAGAGGUGAAAUUCUUGGAUUUAUGAAAGAUUAACUUCUGCGAAAGCAUCUGCCAAGGAUGUUUUCAUUAAUCAAGAACGAAAGUUAGGGGAUCGAAGACGAUCAGAUACCGUCGUAGUCUUAACCAUAAACGAUGCCGACCAGCGAUUAGGAGACGUUGAAUACAAAACACCACCAUCGGUGCGGUCGUCCUUGGCGUCUCGGUCCUUCACGGGGCCGGGGCGCGGGGGUGGCUUAGCCCGGUGGCACCGGUGAAUGACUC